rnacentral:rRNA from 1 species
AUGGCGGCGGCGGCGAGGAACCUGGUGCUACGGCACCUCCGCUUGGCCGCGUCCCCCGCGUCGUCGGUGGCCCUCAGGCCGGCAGCGGCGCUGCAGGGGGCCCUGUCGGGGCGGCGGUGGAUGUCGUCAGAGGACGCCAAGGGGUCGUUCCUGGACAAGGACGAGGUCACCGAGCGCACCAUCAAGGUCGUCAAGAACUUCCAGAAGAUCGACGACCCAUCCAAGGUGAAAGCAGAUGCCCACUUCAAGGAUGAUCUUGGCCUGGACAGUUUGGAUGCAGUAGAGGUUGUUAUGUCCUUGGAAGAGGAAUUUGGCUUUGAGAUACCUGACAAUGAAGCUGACAAAAUUGACUCCAUUAAAGCUGCAGUGGACUUCAUCGCCUCGCACCCCAAAGCCAAAUGA